ACGGGAGCCAGCAGUGAGGAAUAUUGGUCAAUGGGCGGAAGCCUGAACCAGCCAAGUCGCGUGAAGGAUGAAGGUAUUAUGUAUUGUAAACUUCUUUAGCUGUGGAGCAAUAAUCUCCAUGUAUGGAGAGAUGAGAGUACACAGAGAAUAAGGAUCGGCUAACUCCGUGCCAGCAGCCGCGGUAAUACGGAGGAUCCGAGCGUUAUCCGGAUUUAUUGGGUUUAAAGGGUGCGCAGGCGGCUUUCUAAGUCAGUGGUCAAAUCGUGGUGCUCAACGCCAUCCCGCCAUUGAUACUGGAGAGCUUGAUUGCGGUCGAGGUUUGCGGAAUUCGUCGUGUAGCGGUGAAAUGCAUAGAUAUGACGAAGAACACCGAUUGCGUAGGCAGCAGACCAGGCCGUAAAUGACGCUCAUGCACGAAAGUGCGGGGAUCGAACAGGAUUAGAUACCCUGGUA
rnacentral:rRNA from 1 species